AAUUUCAAACAAAAGAUUUAGGAAUUCAAAAAGCAGAAAAACCCUUGGAAUUCAAAAAACACACGCAGAUGGUGAAACAUCCCACUCUUCCUAUUCACAAUUUUCCAUUUAUCCCUUGCAACUUGGAAACAUUUUCGUCAUUUCCCUCAACCUUUUUUUAACAAAGAAAUAAAACAGAACAGGAACGUACCGUAGACUCGCUCAGAGAUCUCAAGAAGCCCAUCGGGCGGCUUCCGGAAAAAGAGCUUGCGCAGCAACGCCAUCUCAGUCGUCCAACGACACCUCCAAUUGUAGUUCUAUAUUAAACUAUAUAUAUAUGUACUAUAUUUCUGGGUGGGUGUGUCUAAAGUUUCUGUGUUAGCUUGUUGUCAGGUGUUGGGAUUGGUGAUGUUGGUGUUGUUAACGAUGAAUUGACGGAUGUGUUUGUUUCUGAAUAAGAUAAUACCGUUUCUUUGGUUUUUUCUGCGGGCUGAGAUUAUUACCUACCAAGUCGCGUGGAGGCCGCACCGCCGCAUGACGUCCCCCGCCGACAAGUGGAUGAAGUUGGCUUAUCCACACCAGACUGCUAUAUUAUGUCCGAAUAUUUGGUAAUCUUCCACUGAAAAAAUUGAGCUUUCUUGGGUUAAUUGGUAGGGACGUACUGAUUAUAGUUGGUUUAGGCAAGGGCAACUUGCCUGCUUAAGGAACUACGAAGCUUUUUGCGGCACAGAGCUUCAAACGGACGGGUGGACUUUGGGAGGUGGAAUUUCCUUCCGAAUGGCUUGCAGAGUUGCGGACUCUAUGUUCCUUUGCAUGUUUCAGGUCAUGAAAACUGAAAAAAAUGGAGUCAAUUUGAAUGAUACAUUCCUUCUUCCACAAUAAAGGACUCGGCAGUGGAGAAUUCCAGAUGUUUAGAUGCAUUUUGGUGCAGCCAGUCAAGUCAAUUCUCUAAAGCAAUUUGAUGUGGCUUCCAUUGAAUUGUAAUAUUCUUGAUACUACUUCUGGAAAUCUUUGUAAUGACAAAGGAUAACAAUUUCUCUCUCCGAGAGAUCUAAGAAAUCCGAAGUGGCAGAGGAAUUAAACAUCAUAUAAAGACAUUUGAUAUUGGGGAGAAAUUUAAUUGACUGGAAAUAAUUCUCAACAUUCAACACUUGUAAUACACUGCUCCCAUCCUUCAUCUCCUUUCCAAGAUUUGUAUAACCGUCAAUCUUUUUGCAGCCCGUUAGAUUUGAAAAACCGAGUGCAACAAAGUUCCCAAAGGAUAUUGAUGCUUCUUCCCUCGCCCAACUCCUUGAUGAAGCUACAACGCAUUCUAAAGGCAAUAAGUUUCUUUCUAUGGAAAUUGAGUGGCAAAGAUUGUAAAGGAUAAUUCGACCAAUGAAGUAAUCUUAAUUCGAACAUCUUCACCUCUAAAAGAAGAAGAAGAGUAAAAGGAAGAGAUAGAAGCUCCUUGAAAGGCGUCACCCUCUCUGUAAGCGUAAAUACCAUUCAUCAGAGAGGUUCAAUUACAGAGAAGUUGGAGAAAGAAAGAAGAACAAUAACCAUUCUUAAGCCAUGUAUCAUACACAUGUGUACAUAUAUAAAUUGAUUUUUUUAAAACAAUAAAGUGAACUCAAUUUCAGCA